UACGUAGGCAGCGAGCGUUGUUCGGAGUUACUGGGCGUAAAGAGUGCGUAGGCGGCGUUCCAAGUUUGGUGUGAAAUCUCCCGGCUUAACUGGGAGGGUGCGCCGAAAACUGGGAUGCUAGAGUGCGGGAGAGGUAAGCGGAAUUCCUGGUGUAGCGGUGAAAUGCGUAGAUAUCAGGAGGAACACCGGCGGUGUAGACGGCUUACUGGACCGUGACUGACGCUGAGGCACGAAAGCGUGGGGAUCAAACAGG
rnacentral:rRNA from 1 species